rnacentral:rRNA from 1 species
GACGAACGCUGGCGGCGUGCUUAACACAUGCAAGUCGAACGCUGAAGACCUGGCUUUUGUUGGGUUGGAUGAGUGGCGAACGGGUGAGUAACACGUGAGUAACCUGCCCUCUUCUUUGGGAUAACGCCCGGAAACGGGUGCUAAUACUGGAUAUUCACUGGCCUUCGCAUGGGGGUUGGUGGAAAGGUUUGUUCUGGUGGGGGAUGGGCUCGCGGCCUAUCAGCUUGUUGGUGGGGUGAUGGCCUACCAAGGCUUUGACGGGUAGCCGGCCUGGGAGGGUGACCGGGCACGUUGGGACUGAGAUACGGCCCAGACUCCUACGGGAGGCAGCAGUGGGGAAUAUUGCACAAUGGGCGAAAGCCUGAUGCAGCGACGCCGCGUGAGGGAUGGAGGCCUUCGGGUUGUAAACCUCUUUCGCUCAUGGUCAAGCCGCAACUGUGGGUUGUGGUGAGGGUAGUGGGUAAAGAAGCGCCGGCUAACUACGUG